UUUGCUGUCGGAAGUUAAAGCGGUCACUGCCCAUCAGAAUCUUGCCCAACCCGGUGCCUCAAAUAUGAUUUCCAUUCCUAUAAGUGGUCGUGUUUGUUGGCAGACAAGUUUCCUAUGAUAAACUGCUUUGGCUGCUGCUUUGGGUUUUAACUGGUUGGAUAGUGUCUGUUUUCAUUUACUGAUGGCACAUAGCCCCAUGUAAAGCACAUUCUUUUUUUAUGCAGAAGACCUCAGCUGGCUAGAUAGGAAACUGAAGAAUCCUGGAUAACUGGUUAUAUUUCUAGAUGACAUGUUCUUCAAUACAAGCUUAGAAAACUAAUCACAGAACAGGUACAGAUAGUUUCAUGGAAACAGAAAACCAAAGCAGGAUGUCUUCUAUGCAGCAAGCCAGCUUCCCCUCCAUUUGAAAUGUACAUGACAAAUACACUAAUUAAUA